rnacentral:tRNA from 1 species
UUCACCUUGGUGCAAAUCCAAGUGAAAGUA